rnacentral:rRNA from 1 species
UACGUAGGUGGCAAGCGUUGUCCGGAUUUACUGGGCGUAAAGAGCGCGCAGGCGGUCGUACAAGUCGCGUGUGAAAGCCCCCGGCUCAACUGGGGAGGGUCACGCGAUACUGUUCGACUCGAAGGCAGGAGAGGGAAGCAGAAUUCCCCGGUGUAGUGGUGAAAUGCGUAGAUAUCGGGAGGAAUACCAGUGGCGAAGGCGGCUUCCUGGCCUGUUCUUGACGCUGAGGCGCGAAAGCUAGGGUAGCAAACGGG